rnacentral:rRNA from 1 species
GAUAAACGCUGGCGGCGUGCCUAACACAUGCAAGUCGAACGAUCCCGCAAGGGAGAGUGGCGGAAGGGUGAGUAACACGUGGGAAUCUACCUCCUCGCAGGGAACAACCUCUCGAAAGAGAGGCUAAUACCCAAAAGGGUCAGAAAUGAUCAGAGUCGAAAGGCGUGAGGAGAGGAGCCCGCGGCCCAUCAGCUAGUUGGUGAGGUAAUGGCUUACCAAGGCUACGACGGGUAGGGGAUCUGAGAGGAUGUCCCCCACACUGGAACUGAAACACGGUCCAGACGCCUACGGGUGGCAGCAGUGAGGAAUAUUGGACAAUGGGCGAAAGCCCGAUCCAGCAACGCCGCGUGGAGGAUGAAGGCCUUCGGGUCGGUAAAACUUCUUUAGAGGGAGACGAGAAAGGACGGUAUCCCUAGAAUAAGCGACGGCAAACUAACGUGCCAG